CCUACGGGACGCAGCAGUGAGGAAUAUUGGUCAAUGGGCGCGAGCCUGAACCAGCCAAGUAGCGUGAAGGAUGACUGCCCUACGGGUUGUAAACUUCUUUUAUAUGGGAAUAAAUUGUUCCACGUGUAGGCUUUUGUAUGUACCCUAUGAAUAAGGAUCGGCUAAAUCCGUGCCAGCAGCCGCGGUAAUACGGAGGAUCCGAACGUUAGCCGGAUUUCUUGGGUUUACAGGGAGCGUCGGCGGAUUGUUAAGUCAGUUGGGAAAGUUUGGGGCUCAACCGUAAAAUUGCAGUUGAUACUGGCAGGGUUGAGUACAGUAGAGGUAGGCGGAAGUCGUGGUGUAGCGGUGAAAUGCUUAGAUAUCACGAAGAACUCCGAUUGCGAAGGCAGCCCACUGGACUGCAACUGACGCUGAGGCUCGAAAGUGUGGGUAUCAAACAGGAUUAGAUACCCUAGUAGUC
rnacentral:rRNA from 1 species